rnacentral:rRNA from 1 species
AACGAACGCUGGCGGCAUGCCUAACACAUGCAAGUCGAACGAGAUCUUCGGGUCUAGUGGCGCACGGGUGCGUAACGCGUGGGAACCUGCCCUUAGGUUCGGAAUAACUCCCCGAAAGGGGUGCUAAUACCGGAUAAUGUCUUCGGACCAAAGAUUUGUCGCCUUUGGAUGGGCCCGCGUUGGAUUAGCUAGUUGGUAGGGUAAAAGCCUACCAAGGCGACGAUCCAUAGCUGGUCUGAGAGGAUGAUCAGCCACACUGGGACUGAGACACGGCCCAGACUCCUACGGGAGGCAGCAGUGGGGAAUAUUGGACAAUGGGCGAAAGCCUGAUCCAGCAAUGCCGCGUGAGUGAUGAAGGCCUUAGGGUUGUAAAGCUCUUUUACCCGGGAUGAUAAUGACAGUACCGGGAGAAUAAGCUCCGGCUAACUCCGUG